AUAUAUUCUAAUCACAGUUUAACGCUAUACUCACGGACAUUCGCCUCACCACAUUAACAUGAAAUCUUUUUUCGUCUUCGUAUUGUUCGUGGCAGCGGCUGUCACCUUUCCCGCCGAAAAGGAUGCCGUCGUACUGCAAUACGAUAAUGAGAAUAGCGGGAUUGAUGGAUACAAAUACACGUAUGAAACUUCAAAUGGUAUCGUGAGUCAGGAGGAAGGUCACCUGCGGAACGUUGGCACCGACGAUGAGGUUUUGGAUGUGCGUGGAUCCUUCCAAUACCCGGGUGUCAACGGCCAGCUAUACUUGGUGAGAUACGAGGCCAAUGAAAAUGGUUUCCAAGCUUUUGGCACCCACCUCCCACGACCACAAUAAAGAUCAAGGCGAUCUAAGUAAUGGAAUUAUCUAGUCUAGACCACAUGUUGUUGAACUGAUGUUGAAGUUUUUUGGAAUAUAAAAGAUAUAGGUUCCACGAAAUUUAA